GGGAUGGUAUUUGGAGUUGGAGUCUUUAAGAAGACAUUGGGUUUAGAUGAGGUCAUGAGCAUGAGGUCUCCAUAAUAGGAUUAUUGUCCUUUAAGAAGAGGAAGAAAGACUAGAGAACCUGCUCUCUUUUCCAUGGGAUGACACGGCAAGAAGUUGAUAUCUGCAAGCCAGAAAAGGAGCCCUCAACAGAAUCCAGCCAUGUUGGCCUCUAGAUCUUGGACUUCCCAGCCUCUAGAACGAUUCUCUACAGACAGUGAAGCCCGAUAUUUCCGACUAGCACUUCCCACAACCCUGCCCUUGGGACCCCACUGCCUGGUAGAAAUAAAGCCCAUGUGGAAGAUCCAAAGAAAACUUUGGCUUUGACUAAGCUUCCUACAUUCUCCUGGAGUUUGUGGUUUACGAAUGCGGUGCCAUCUGCAGAACUGACAACCCCUGAUGUGUUCACCCUGCUCCUCUUCCAGGUAUCAUGAAUGGCUAUACAUAAGCCAAGUAUUUCAGUUGAAAUGAAAAUUUUAAAGCAAAUUUGAAGAAGAGGAAGGGGAAAAAAGGAGGAAGAGAAGGAGGAAGAAGAAAAACAAGAAGAACAUGAAGAAGAAGAAAGGGGAGAAGGGGAGAAGAAAAGAGGUAGUGGAAAAAUAAGGAGGAGAGAAGGGAGAGGGAUAGCAAUGAUACCACCUGUUAAGAGAUCAAAAGUGGAUCUGUUAGCCCUUCCUUGCUCUCAGGAACCCAAUCUCAGAUGAUGAUAGACAGAGGAAAAUAGGGCAGCAAGACCCUCCCAAUUUCCUACCCCAGAAAUACACCCAAGUGCCAUCUCUCCCUGGAAUGCUAGAAGGGAACUAACAUUCACUGGGUUCCUCCUACAAUCAUUUACUUUCUUUGGUACUUUACACGGCUUAGAUGUAUAGUUCCAUUCAAUUCUCAAACAAAAGUAUAAGGUAGACAAUGUUAUUUCCAUUUUUAUAGAUUAAGUUCAAGAGGUUGAGAAAUUUGCCCUAGCUGACAAGCAAGGAGCUGGCAUUCCAAUCUCCAUGUCUGGAUUGCCAAACCUAGACUUGUUCCAUCAUCUCACACACGCUUCACCUUUUUUUCUCUGCCAGGAGAUUGAUCUAGUAUCUCCUUUUCAACCUGGUAAGCCUGUCUAUUAGGUACAGCUUACCCAAAAAGGGUCUCCUAAUACCAAUCCUUGUUUCCAUACAUCAUUGGUGAGUCCCAGCCCAAGCAAGUGCAAUUUGCUUUUGCAGAUCACUUUCCCAACGUGGCUAUGCAUUUGUGUUUCUUAUCACUGAACGUAAGACAGUUCAUUACUCAAGUGUAAACACCAACCUGAGACAGCUGGGUACACUGACACUUACCACACAGAUGAAAGAACUUUGAUGGAAAGUGCAAACACUGGGAAACACGUGGGAAAUUGGUUUCAUAUGGUUUGAUUACACUUGCUUAAAAUAUCCCUUUUUUCUGAUCAGAUCAGAAAUUGAUGUUUGUUACUAUUCUGAGAUAUGAGUCUGAGUGUUUUUUGUUUUUGUUUUUUUUUUUUUUUGAGAUGGAGUCUUACUUGUUGCCCAGGCUGGAGUACAGUGGUGUGGUCUCGGCUCACUGCAACCUCCGCCUCCCGGGUUCAAGCAAUUCUCCUGCCUCAGCCCCCUGAGUAGCUAAGAUUACAGGCCCCACCAUGCCUGGCUAAUUUUUUGUAUUUUUAGUAGAGACAGGGUUUCACCAUAUUGACCAGGCUGAUCUCGAACUCCUAACCUCAUGAUCCGCCUGCCUCGGCCUCGCAAAGUGCUGGGAUUACAGGUGUGAGCCACAGCACCCAGCCAGAGUAUGAGUUUUUUGUUUGUUUGUUUGUUUUUAAAUAGAGACUCUUCUUUUGAAUAUCCCUGGGCCUUUAAAUGAGAUAGAAGAAAAUCUUCCAUUGUUUUCACAUUUGAUAAAGUAUUUUUCAAGGAGAGACUGUCAGGGUGAGGAUGUACCCUCACAACUCAUAUUAAGGAGAAAAGCAAAAGAAACUGGAGGAGAGAAGACAAAUUUGCUGAGGGCUAAUUCUGACUCUGUGCCAGGCACUCGCUUUGCCAUUUGGCUAACUUCAUUUUCCUCAUUCCUCUCAACAACUCUGCGAGUAUAAACAUUUUAUCUGCAGACCACCACCACCACCUCCAUCACCAUGAAGAUUCAAGGAGCAGUACUCCAUGUAGGCUCCAAUAGCUGUUGAGUGGUAGAGCUGAGAAUUGAAAUCACGCCUCCCUGGGUUGUUUCACUACACUGCACAAUCUGCUCAAUCUCCUAAUGAUCGGGGCUCUGUUUUUGGCCUGAAGAAUAAAAAAGUGACAAGACAUA